ensembl:lncRNA LOC102550600 uncharacterized LOC102550600
CCUCCGUCCACGCGACUCCGCCUCCUCCCGGGCCCAGCCCCCAGGUCUGUUGAAGCACGUGGAGCGUAUGAUGCGGACUGUAUCGCGGCGUGUUUCACAAGACCUGACUGCUGUACGCGGGUCUCCACCCGUGCCUCACACCUCCUUACAAGUCCCUGUGUGUGUGCAGGAUGUCGGGGGCGGGUCGGUGAGAGCGUGCUUCUUCUCCUGCCUCAGACAGUACAGAGGACUCGCCUGAAAAACACAGCUGCCCUCUCUCCUUCCUGCUGUGGACACAGACUCUGCCCCUGAACCCAAGAAAGCUAUGAUCAAGCUGCCUGGUGGUCCACACCUAUAAACCCAACACUCCACAAGCUGAGGCAGGAGGAUCACAAGUUCUAGGACAAAGGCACCCUUGCCCUCAGAGGAAAGAGUCGCUGCAGGAUCCUGUCUGAGUUCUUGUCGGAUGUGAGGCAGAGGUGCGGUGGGGCUAAGCCCCUUCCUCCCAAUAGAUGUCUCCAUCUUUGUGUCCUCUUCCUCUGAGACCCCAUGAAAAUGGAUGUUGAUGAAUGAUUGUGGCUCCUCUGCAACUCGUCCCAGGCUCAAACCUUGAGAGCUGGGCCCCAAACCCAGAAGAGCCCUGUCCCUCAGAGAAUCUCCUGAGGCCCAAGCUCCUCAUGCUGAUCAAGUUCCCCAAAUGGUCUGGUCUGGUGGGAGCAGCUCUACGCCUGCAUCUGAGACUUCAGGAACUCUCUCUCUCAUGGAUGCUGCUUUCCGAUUGCUACGUGAGUCUCAGAGGGCUGGGGGGAUGCACACGCGUGAGGACCUGGGUAUCCACUCUACAAAAAGCCAAGCAUGGCAGUGUCAUCUAUCACCCCAGCACAGAAGACAAAAAAGCAGACCGGUGACCUCGAAUGUAAGAGUUCAAGUCUCUGCACCAGCAUCUCACGGGCUACAGUUAACCAGCAUGCGCUAUCACGCAUGACCAGAAGGCACACCUGUCUGUCGGGAGCCUCUGCGUGAGGUCCUGUCUUGUUAUAGCCACUCGUUCGUGUGGACUGAAGUCCCCUCUCACCCCCCUGCCAUCAGAGACUCAAGGAUUUCGUUUCUUCAAGAAUGAACUUCAGGUUCCAACCAAAGGCAAGAUGAUCGCUUGCCCUCUGGUGUCCCGUCUGUAACAACAGAGCCACCUGAUCCUCUCAUACUCUGUUGCCAGCCAUGGCAGCCAAGAUGCCCAACAUGCCUGGAAGUCAAGAGUGGCCUUCAGGAGUUUGCUGCACCUGGUCCAGCUACUGCCAAGGUCACAGAUGCACACUAACCUCUACACUCUUCCAGGAGGAGGCAUGUCCGGAAGCCCAGGGUGGCUUUCUGUAGCUGCUCCAGGACACUGCCUAGCCCCACCGCAGGUUGUUGACACGGUAGGAAGCACAGGGAUGGGAGAGGACCCAACUGCUGCCAAAGUAAACCCGGGGGCUACGCAGGCUCUCUUUGAUUUGAGGAGCUAUUUGUGGACCUGAGUACAUAUCUAUUCUUUAUCUCCCCUCCCCCCCCCCCCC